rnacentral:rRNA from 1 species
GGACUACACGGGUAUCUAAUCCCGUUCGCUCCCCUGGCUUUCGCGCCUCAGCGUCAGUUGAGGGCCAGCCGCGCGCUUUCGCCACCGGCGUUCCUUCCGAUAUCAACGCAUUUCACCGCUCCACCGGAAGUUCCCGCGGCCCCUACCUCACUCCAGACGAGCAGUCCCCGAGGCACUUUUCCGGUUAAGCCGAAAGAUUUCACCCCGGGCUUGCCCGCCCGCCUACGCGCCCUUUAAGCCCAGUGAUUCCGAACAACGUUCGCACGGUUCGUCUUACCGCGGCUGCUGGCAC